GUGCAAACCCACGCCAUAUCCCUGAAUCUGUUGUGGAAGAACAGAGAAUCCUUGACAGUGUGACAACCUGCCUGGGCUGCCGCGGGAAGCCAAAUCCGCCCCCACACAAACCCGAGUAAUUAACAGGUGGGGAAAAAUAGCAAGUAACUGCUGCUGAGGAGAGGAAAAAUAGUCAACCUAGUGAAUUAUGUAUAUUAAAGUAUAAUAUCUCUUUUGCAAUCCCUUUCCUAGUUCUUACUAGCAAGCUCUACUGGGUGGGCUCAGAUUUAUCAGUGAGGCCAUGCCCUGAGCAGAAUUGCCCUG
rnacentral:lncRNA from 1 species